CCUACGGGAGGCAGCAGUGAGGAAUAUUGGUCAAUGGACGCAAGUCUGAACCAGCCAUGCCGCGUGCAGGAAGACGGCUCUAUGAGUUGUAAACUGCUUUUGUACGAGGGUAAACGCAGAUACGCGUAUCUGUCUGAAAGUAUCGUACGAAUAAGGAUCGGCUAACUCCGUGCCAGCAGCCGCGGUAAUACGGAGGAUUCAAGCGUUAUCCGGAUUUAUUGGGUUGAAAGGGUGCGUAGGCGGUCGGAUAAGUUAGAGGUGAAAUCCCGAGGCUCAACUUCGGAAUUGCCUCUGAUACUGUUCGGCUAGAGCGUAGUUGCGGUAGGCGGAAUGUAUGGUGUAGCGGUGGAAUGCUUAGAGGUCAUACAGAACACCGAUUGCGAAGGCAGCUUACCAAGCUACUUCUGACGUUGAGGCACGAAAGCGUGGGGAGCAAACAGGAUUAGAUACCCCAGUAGUC
rnacentral:rRNA from 1 species